GGAGAACAUUCAUUGUGAAUCCGAUUGUUUAUACCGAGCCUUGCAAGCCUAAUAUUAUCAACUUUCAGGUACUACGAGAGAUUGUUGCAACUCCUUCACCUUCUGCUUGGGAAAAACAGUAUCCAAGCCAGUGGCUUGCCUUUAAAGAAGUACGCGGUUGCCGAGUUUCUGGCAGUGGCGUGGUUAAUGGACAAGGCUCUGGUUGAUUGGUGGAAUCAAUCAUGUAAAUAUCAUCCUAGCAUGGUAAUUGAUUAAUUAUAAACACAAGAAAAGUAUACCAAACGUUGAAAUUAGUUUAUAGCUAUGUUACUUGGACUCUCUUCAUUUUCUCUUAAGUAGUUGUGUCGGAUUCUAGACACUUCGACACUUCUAUUUUGGCCAAAAUCAUGAAAAUAUUUUUCUAAAUAGCCAAGUCAUAUACAUGGACAUGGUGUGUCAAACUUGAGCAUCAAGUUCGAGUAACAUAAGUCAAUACUCCGGACACCUAUAGUAAAUUGUUCUCAUUCCUUGUUUUUCUUCAAAGUUGAUGCACUAAACUGGCCCUGACUGUG